GCAAGGCGAAUCUUCCAGAAAUCUGCCACAAUUCUUGUGCACAUUUCAUAUUGUCAGCACGUAAGGGCGGACCACGGCGAGGGCGGGAAGGACGAAGGGGCGUGGCCAUAGGCGUCAAAGUCCCGCACACCCACACAGCCACACACAUACGCUUAACACAGAUGUGUGCAUGCGGUUGUUUGCUUGUGCUGCUGGGCGCGCACAUGCAUAUGAAAACCGCUUUCGUUUCCGGAGCAAGAACGACUUGAAAAUGGCGCACGGCAUGGAGUCGCCCGCCAUUGUUGCCACCGUGCUGACUGUUGUUGCUGCCGCCAUCAGAUAGAUAGGUGCAAAAAAGUAGCAACUCCAGCUUAACAACCUCGAGGAAGGGGAUGACAAUCUGGAUGGCAGACAGGUGAAAGGGGUUGGCGGGAGAGUUGGCACCGAGAGUUGACAACAGGAUAUACAACCAAAAAAGAAAGUGAAAUGGAUGUGGAAAUGGAAAAUACAAAAUGCAAGCAAUACAGGUAUCUGGUUGUCUGGUUGCCAGCGACAACGACAACGACAACGACAACUACAGGGAUAGCGACAAGUCGACAGGACUUGCAGCCCGGACAUUAACAAUAGCAAAGUGUUUUCUUUCCAAAGGCGCUUGGCUACGAUCUGACGUUCUUAUCUUUGCCAGCCAUAUGGGCAAAGGUAGCACAGAGCCCGAAACAAGGUCAAAGGCCGUCGACGGGCGGCAGGAGCCAGCUGGACAGAGACAAAUGGAUGCAGUGAGAGUGGAAUUCAAAUGAAAAUGCAAAUGCAAAUGCGAAUUCAAACCAAACGGUGCCAGAGACAACACUGAUUAAAGGCAGCCGAGCAUAAAGAAUAAUGU